rnacentral:tRNA from 1 species
GGACCCGUGGGGUAGUUUGGACAUCCUGAGGGCCUUCGGAGCCUUUGACCCGGGUUCGAAUCCCGGCGGGUCCG